rnacentral:rRNA from 1 species
CCUACGUGGGGCAGCAGUGGGGAAUAUUGGACAAUGGGCGAAAGCCUGAUCCAGCCAUGCCGCGUGUGUGAAGAAGGCCUUCGGGUUGUAAAGCACUUUCAGUGGGGAAGAAAGCCUUGGGGCUAAUACCCUCGAGGAAGGACAUCACCCACAGAAGAAGCACCGGCUACCUCCGUGCCAGCAGCCGCGGUAAUACGGAGGGUGCGAGCGUUAAUCGGAAUUACUGGGCGUAAAGCGCGCGUAGGCGGUCUGAUAAGCCGGUUGUGAAAGCCCCGGGCUCAACCUGGGAACGGCAUCCGGAACUGUCAGGCUAGAGUGCAGGAGAGGAAGGUAGAAUUCCCGGUGUAGCGGUGAAAUGCGUAGAGAGCGGGAGGAAUACCAGUGGCGAAGGCGGCCUUCUGGACUGACACUGACGCUGAGGUGCGAAAGCGUGGGUAGCAAACAGGAUUAGAUACCCCUGAGUC